rnacentral:rRNA from 1 species
GACGAACGCUGGCGGCGUGCCUAAUACAUGCAAGUCGAACGCAGUGGGGACGGGUGAGUAACACGUGGGUAACCUCCCAUCAGAGGGGAUAACACUUGGAAACAGGUGCUAAACCGAUACUGAUGGAUGAACCCGCGGUGCAUUAGCUAGUUGGUGAGGUAACGGCGCACCAAGGCCAUGAUGCAUAGGCAACCUUAGAGGGGGAUCGGCCAAACUGGGACUGAGACAAGGCCCAGACUCCGACGGUAGGCAGCAGUAGGGAAUCUUCGGUAAUGGACGAAAGUCUGACCGAGCAACGCCGAGUUAGUGAAGAAGGUUUUCGGAUCGUAAAACUCUGUUGUUAGAGAAGCGGUAUCUAACCAGAAAGCCACGGCUAAAUACGUGCCAGCAGCCGCGGUAAUUC